GCAAGUUUUACAGUGCCCGGAACAUCACAGGUGCUUAAUCAACACUUACUGGAUUGCUGAUGAAUUAGUUCACUCUUUGUAGUUCUUCCUGAACUCUGGCUGGUUGGUUCAACUCAGCUGCUCCAACUCAAUACUCUUCUCCAACCUAGAGGAUUCAAACUGGUUUCUCUAAGCUUCUCGUUGAAUUGCUCUGCUUGGAAAAACUGCCUCUGAAUUCCACCAACUGAACUUCUCUGACUACACUGACUACAUGAGCUGAACUCAACUGCACCAAGCUAUUCUGGACUAAACUCCAUGGAACUGUUUAAAGAUGUAUAUUAAUCAUGUGUCUACACUCCAGCCAAAUCACAUAGACCUAAGUCAUU